GCCUUGCCAACUGAGCUACGCGGUCAAGUACAUACAUAUACAUAAUGUAUGUACAGUAUGUACCUGACCGCGUAGCUCAGUCGGCAGAGCAU